GCUGGUUGUCGUCGGUUGGAAGGACUGAGUGGCCACCAGGACUGCAGGUACCAGAUGCUUCAGUUCUGUCUGUGAGCUGACUCGUGUUACUGAUGGAGAUCAUCUCGGAGCAGGGACAAGGGCAGACCUCUUCAGAGGGAAACCUGAGGCCCUGGCAACCCAUUCAGCUUCACGCACAGCCACAACCAGUCUCUCUGAUGCCCAAAGGUCAGUGCUGCCUCCCGGCCUGGCCCACUCUGCAUAAGCCUACCCUAUGACUCCAGGGGGCCACACAGUCACUCCCACAGCCAGCCAGCUGGCCCCAGACCCCUUGGCCUGCCUCCUUCCCCUUUCUCCCUCUCCCCAGCACUCCUUGCUCUCACUCUCUUAGGCAGAUCUUCCCAGGGUCCCCUGCCUUCAUCACCACCAGAGCAUUUACUUGUAAAUGCCUUUCUACCUUGCCGAACCCUCCCAUCUGUCAAGGUCCAUCUUGAGUCUCACCUCCUUCAUAAAGCCCUCCCCAGACCCCAAGGCCUGCAUGGUGACACUGUGCAAAGAGCACUCACUUCCAGCCAGGCACUCCUAGGUGUGCUGAAUCCCAGCUCGGCCUCUUUCUCACUGUCUGACCUAAGGGAAAGUGAAACUCAGCUUCUUAGAGUUUCCACUUUUUUGCCUUAGAAUAUACCUCCCUUAUGGGGUUGCUUUGAGAAUUA